rnacentral:rRNA from 1 species
AGCUAAGAAUAUUCCGCAAUGGACGAAAGUCUGACGGAGCGACGCCGCGUGGAUGAAGAAGGCCGAAAGGUUGUAAAAUCCUUUUGUUGGGGAAGAAUAAGCGUGGGAGGGAAUGCCCGCGUGAUGACAUGAACCGACGAAUAAGUCCCGGCUAACUACGUGCCAGCAGCCGCGGUAACACGUAGGGGACAAGCGUUAUUCGGAAUUACUGGGCGUAAAGGGCAUGUAGGCGGCCUGAUAAGCCUGGCGUGAAAGUCACCGGCUCAACCGGUGGAUUGCGUCGGGAACUGUUGGGCUUGAGUCAUGGAGAGGAAGGCAGAAUUCCUGGUGUAGGGGUGAAAUCUGUAGAGAUCAGGAAGAAUACCAGUGGCGAAGGCGGCCUUCUGGCCAAUGACUGACGCUGAGGUGCGAAAGUGUGGGGAUCAAACAGGAUUAGAUACCCUGGUAGUCCACACUGUAAACGAUGUGCACUAGGUGCUGGGGCGGAUGCUUCAGUGCCGGAGCUAACGCGGUAAGU